CCUACGGGUGGCUGCAGUGGGGAAUAUUGCACAAUGUGGGAAACCCUGAUGCAGCGACGCCGCGUGAGUGAAGAAGUAUUUCGGUACGUAAAGCUCUAUCAGCAGGGAAGAAAAUGACGGUAACUGACUAAGAAGCCCCGGCUAACUACGUGCCAGCAGCCGCGGUAAUACGUAGGGGGCAAGCGGUAUCCGGAUUUACUGGGUGUAAAGGGAGCGUAGACGGGAGCGCGAGUCUGAAGUGAAAUCCCAUGGCUUAACCCUGGAACUGCUUUGGAAACUGUGCAGCUAGAGUGCAGGAGAGGAAAGGGGAAGUCCUAGUGUAGCGGUGAAAUGCGUAGAUAUUAGGAGGAACACCAGUGGCGAAGGCGGCUUACUGGACUGUAACUGACGUUGAGGCUCGAAAGCGUGGGGAGCAAACAGGAUUAGAUACCCGUGUAGUC
rnacentral:rRNA from 1 species